rnacentral:rRNA from 1 species
UACGUAGGGGGCGAGCGUUGUCCGGAUUUAUUGGGCGUAAAGAGCUCGUAGGCGGUUCGAUAAGUCGGAUGUGAAAUCUCCACGCUCAACGUGGAGGGGCCAUUCGAUACUGUCGUGACUCGAGUCCGGUAGGGGAGUGUGGAAUUCCCGGUGUAGCGGUGAAAUGCGCAGAGAUCGGGAGGAACACCCGUAGCGAAGGCGGCACUCUGGGCUAACACUGACGCUCAUGCACGAAAGCGUGGGGAGCAAACAGG